rnacentral:rRNA from 1 species
UACGUAGGGUGCAAGCGUUAAUCGGAAUUACGGGGCGUAAAGCGUACGCAGGCGGCUUUGCAAGACAGGGGUGAAAUCCCCGGGCGUAACCUGGGAACUGCAUUUGUGACUGCAUGGCUAGAGUCUGUCAGAGGGGGGUGGAAUUCCACGUGUAGCAGUGAAAUGCGUAGAGAUGUGGAAGAACACCGAUGGCGAAGGCAGCCCCCUGGGAUGAGACUGACGCUCAUGUACGAAAGCGUGGGGAGCAAACAGG